UGAGAGCAGAGUGUUGCUAAACUUACCAUGUGAUGGAUAUUUCUCCGUUUUGAUAUUGCACAGAAUGAAGAACAUAGCAGACAGAUGAAGUAGGCCUGGUGGUGCUCUGAGCAGAACAAAUCCUAAGGCCAGGUUAGACUAGCUUUGCACUGUUUCCCUCGUGUCUAGAUUUCUGAAGGAUGAGUCUUUUGAUUUGUUUCUAACCUGCUUAAAAGAGAUGGGGAGGCGGAGGAAGCAAGGAGCCGAGGUGCAGCCGGAUGCCUCCCAGGAUGAAUAAUGGCAACAAGAAACAGAGUUCUUAAAGCCCAGAUGAUAAGGGCCUCAGUCUGGGUGUGAAUGAACUUGGCCUGACUUCUUUGCUGCCGUCAUAUGAACCGGAAGGAGACAGCUUAGAUAGAGCAAGCCUGCUCCUUCCAGAAGCACGAGGGUCCUGUGGCGGUUUUUGCUUCAAACACCGCAGAACACAGAGCAAACCCCAUGACGCCGUCCUUCAACUAAACAGCCCAAAGCAGCAAACUAGAGGUUUCCAUUUUUAGUUUGCAAGGGGAACAACUGAGCUUUCAUGAGUUGGAAUUUGCUAACGUAAAUUGAGCCUUUGUAAGAGGGCUGAAAUUGACCCUGGAGACGGAAAGCACAGGAAAUAUUUGCUGUGGUCGGUGGGAGAGGACGCUCCGCAGACAAAGCCGCCUGCUUCUCCCGUCAGGCCUGCCUCCUCUCUAGGCAAAUAUUGGAGGGAUGACUUUUUUAUUUGCAGAGAGGAUUUGGCUAAUUUUGUUUUAUUUGUGUACCUUACAUUCAUGGAGCACUCUGCACAGUCUGUUGGAUAAUCUCUAAUUAUUCCUUUCCUCUUCACACCUGUGAGGCCGAUGCUCAGCAUAUUUCAGAGGAAGCUGGCACCAGGGAUGAGGGAAUCUGCCCAAGCAUGAGUCACCUGGAAUAUUAAACCAGAACCAACACACAAAUGAUCUGUGCAAAGAGGU
rnacentral:lncRNA from 1 species